rnacentral:rRNA from 1 species
GACGAACGCUGGCGGCGUGCUUAACACAUUCAAGUCGAACGGUAAGGCCCUUCGGGGUACACGAGUGGCGAACGGGCGAGUAACACGUGGGUGAUCUGCCCUGCACUUCGGGAUAAGCCUGGGAAACUGGGUCUAAUACCGGAUAGGACCACUGCCUGCAUGGGUGGUGGUGGAAAGCUUUUGCGGUGUGGGAUGGGCCCGCGGCCUAUCAGCUUGUUGGUGGGGUGAUGGCCUACCAAGGCGACGACGGGUAGCCGGCCUGAGAGGGUGACCGGCCACACUGGGACUGAGAUACUGCCCAGACUCCUACGGGAGGCAGCAGUGGGGAAUAUUGCACAAUGGGCGCAAGCCCGAUGCAGCGACGCCGCGUGAGGGAUGACGGCCUUCGGGUUGUAAACCUCUUUCAGCACCGACGAAGCACAAGUGACGGUAGGUGCAGAAGGAGGACCGGCCAACUACGUGCCAGCCGCCGCAGUAACAC